ACUUAUAUAGUAUAUUAAUUACAUUUAACUUCCAAUUAAAAAAAUUAUUAACUAUUAAUAAUAUAAGUA
rnacentral:tRNA from 1 species